CAAUUAUUGGGAGAGGUUUAAAAAAAAAAUCAUUAUCAAAUAACUAUAGCUUGAAAAAGUUGGCGGGCUGGAGGGAAAACGUGGCCUGGAUUGCGCGGUGGCCGCCUCCGCUCCUGGCGCGCCGCGCCGCGCCGCGGUAGCCAAAAAUGGAAGGAAGCACAUCUGUAACGCAUUUAUGUGAUGUUCACCUUUGAGACCGCGCGGUUGCAAGGAGGCGAACGCAACUGACAGAGAGACUUGCAGAAAUUGGACCCUCCCCGCGGGUGGCUGGUGGGAAUGGAGCAUGCCCAGAAGGGAGUCGGCGGCAUAGGAUCACUUCCUUCUCCCAAAGGUACCAAUCAGAUUGGAAUGACCUAUAAACCUGGGUUACCAGAUGAAGGGAAGGAUCAGGCUGCAGUGGACACCAAACACAUUGAAGCUGGAGGAUUCCGAGGAGGUCCAGGAAGAGGGGCAUCUGGGGGCACGCGCUUCAGCUGGAGCUGUUCUGUUCUUAUCCAUUUUAUACCCCGGGAUUCUGCCUGUGAUUUCCCGUGUCAAGCGAGUUCAAUUUCUGAAACAGAAUGAAAAGCCACUGAUCUUGUCCAGAGGAGGCAGUUACUGGCUUUCUAUCCCUCAGGCCUCCCUGCCAGCCACUGGCUUGAGGUGAGAGCAGGACCAGUCAACAUGCAUCGAGCAGACAUUGAUCACGCAGCCACCAGUGGGGCGAGUUAGCCUGGGGCGGGAAGUCAGCCACAGCGCCCGUGUGACAGGGGAUGCCUGGGGUCCGAUGCCGUCAGAUCCCACAACGGGCUUGGCGAGGCCAACACGACACAGAGAGUGUCCAAGCAUGUGGGCUCGUCAGGGCUUGGCCACAGCUGGCAUUUAAUGAAUGCUGCUAAAUGGAAAAGAGCAAA